rnacentral:rRNA from 1 species
GACGAACUGUGCAAACGUUAUUCGGAAUCACUGGGCUUGAAGAGUGCGUAGGCGGUUUCGUAAGUAGGGUGUGAAAGCCCCCAGCUCAACUGGGGAACUGCGUCCUAAACUGCGAGGCUGGAGUGAGGUAGGGGUGUGUGGAACUCCGGUGGAGCGGUGAAAUGUAUUGAUAUCGGAAGGAACAUCAGUUGCGAAGGCGGCUCUCUGGACCAGCACUGACACUGAGGCACGAAAGCGUGGGGAGCAAACAGG